GCGGCCUAUCAGCUUGUUGGUGAGGUAAUGGCUCACCAAGGCGACGACGGGUAGCCGGCCUGAGAGGGCGACCGGCCACACUGGGACUGAGACACGGCCCAGACUCCUACGGGAGGCAGCAGUGGGGAAUAUUGGGCAAUGGAGGGAACUCUGACCCAGCGACGCCGCGUGCGGGAUGAAGGCCUUCGGGUUGUAAACCGCUUUCAGCAGGGGAGAAGCGAAAGUGACGGUACCUGCAGAAGAAGCACCGGCUAACUAUGUGCCAGCAGCCGCGGUAAUACAUAGGGUGCAAGCGUUGUCCGGAAUUAUUGGGCGUAAAGAGCUCGUAGGUGGUUUGUCACGUCGGAUGUGAAAAUCUGGGGCUCAACCCCAGACCUGCAUUCGAUACGGGCGAUCUAGAGUGUGGUAGGGGAGACUGGAAUUCCU
rnacentral:rRNA from 1 species